rnacentral:lncRNA from 1 species
GCCGCCGGCAAGCUCAAGAUGAGAGGAAAAGAUGCUGCAAGAGGAGGAGAAAGAAAAAGAAGAAGGCUGACAAGCAGGGUCCACUCGUAAGUGAGAUAGAGUGACCUUAACAACAUGGUUUUUGGCUUCUCUCAUAGCUUUUUAUGAAAAUGAGAAAGACGUACUCCGUAAAUCUUAACGAACUUAAUUGUUUGUUUUAUUUUUUUAUUAAUUUUAUCUUUUUUUAUUUUACUUUAGCAUUAGCACAGUAGCACGGGCUACUAGUGCUGCUGCUGCCAACAAGUGCAAAUCAUCCCGAUCCCUACAUUACGAAAUCAGGACCCAGCUCUGACCAGGGAUUAGGCCACGUCACCAGGAAAUUAUUGGUCGAUCCUGAUCGGGGCGUUUAACCUCAUGGCACUGGCAGAGCACAUCCAGAGCCUUCGUCCCACCGCUAUGAACCGCCGCCUCCCUCCGCGGUUCCGCCAGUCCUGGACACUAGCUAGGCAGGCCCGCUUGACUGCGUCGCCGCCGACGGCUCGCUGCCCCGCCGCCGGCCGAUUCGAAGAUGAGCCGCCAGCCGCCCAGGGACGCUCGGAGGAGCUGAUGGGAGCUACAUACGGCGCAGGGCUGCAGCUGUAGGGGGGCGGGAAUUCGGAGAGGGCGCUGGCGCACCGAGUGCGUCUCCUGCUCGAUCGCCGCCAGGCCGGCCGCUCGCUGGCCACCGUUUAAUUUGGUACUCGCCAGCCGAAGUGCGUCGACCGCGCCUGGGUAAUGCGGGAGUCUGAUGCACCGUUAGGGUUAAUUAGCAACUGAUGCACCGUUAGGUUAUCACGGGGAGGUAAGUUGGGCUGUUUACAAUUCGUAGGUCGUAUCCAAAAUUCGUAGUACGGCCCGGAUACGUACGUAUAUAUCCGGUAUAGUACAUCAGCGGCGUAUCGGUAUCCAGAACGUAUAGUAUCUUCUGCUAAACAAAAAGAACGUGUGUAGUAUCCGCGGACACGUCGAGAUCCUGCAGGUACCAUGUUAACCCACACAUGGUUUAUAUAUAUGAAAAAUUAUAAAAAUGAGAUACGUCGAGAACUCGAGAUCCUUAAUUACCGUCCUCUCUCUUGGAGUUUGAUUUGGUUAUUGUACUAUAAUGAGUUUGAUUUGGUUAUUAUACUAUAAUUAACUGUUUGUCUCACUGAUGUGCACUGGCACUGUGCACAUGGGUGGACGAGAGGAUCAUCAGCAUGGCUGUCAUCAAUGCCAAUGAGAUGCCAGGGCAUAAGAUCAGCGUGGCUGUAAUCAGCCAAUCUGAUUUUUUUUUAGAUAAUGGAAAAUUCUGGCUUC